CCUUCUUUUUCGCGCUUUUUCCGGAAUCAUUGGGCGUAAAGGGCGCGUAGGCGGCCACUUCAAGCGUGCGGUGAAAGUCGGGGGCUCAACCCCUGAUCGGCCGUGCGAACUGGGGGGCUGGAGCACUGUAGAGGCAGGCGGAAUUCCGGGUGUAGCGGUGGAAUGCGUAGAGAUCCGGAAGAACAUCAGUGGCGAAGGCGGCCUGCUGGGCUGUUG
rnacentral:rRNA from 1 species